rnacentral:rRNA from 1 species
AUGGAGGCCGGAACGAGGAGCCAAAACACGGCCACGGUCGAGAGCCCGCGCUCCGCGCCGCCGGUGCUGCCUUGGACGUUGCGGCUUCGGCUGUUCGCGUCCACCACCGGCCUCGACCUCGCGGAGCGCCGCGACGGCACUGUCAACCGCUUCCUCCUCUCCCUGGCCGACAGGCAGUCGCCGGCCAGUCCGCGCCCGGACGCGCUCGGCGUCCGCUCCGCCGACGUCACCGUCGACGCAUCCCGCGACCUCUGGGCACGUGUCUUCUCCCCGGCAACGGAGGCGGCGGCCACGUCGACCCCGCUCCCCGUCCUCGUCUACGUCCACGGCGGCGGCUUCACGUUCUUCUCCGCCGCGUCCACGUCCGUCGACGGCAUGUGCCGCCGCUUCUGCCGUGGGCUGGGCGCCGUCGUCGUCUCCGUCACCUACCGCCUCGCGCCCGAGCACCGCUACCCCGCGGCCUACGACGACUGCGUGGACGUGCUCCGCUACCUCGGCGCCACCGGCCUCCCCGCCAACGUCGCGGCCCCGGUCGACCUCUCCCGCUGCUUCCUCGCCGGGGACAGCGCCGGCGGCAAUAUCGCCCACCACGUCGCCCACCGUUGGACGUCCUCCUCCAACAGCCCCAUCCGCCUCGCCGGCGUCAUCCUACUGCAGCCGUACUUCGGCGGCGAGGAGCGCACGGAGGCGGAGCUGAGGCUGGAGGGCGUGGCGCCGCUCGUGAACAUGCGCCGCUCCGACUGGUCGUGGAGGGCAUUCUUGCCGGAGGGGGCCGACCGGAAUCACCCGGCGGCGCACGUGACGGGGGAGGCCGGCCCGGAGCCCGAGCUGGCGGAGGCGUUCCCGCCGGCGAUGGUGGUGGUCGGCGGGGUCGACCCACUGCAGGACUGGCAGCGGCGGUACGCCGCCAUGCUGCGGCGCAAGGGGAAGGCGGUGCGCCUGGUGGAGUUCCCGGACGCCUUCCACGCCUUCUACGGCUUCCCGGAGCUCCCCGACGCUGGCAGGGUCGUGGAGGAAAUUAAGGCGUUCAUUGAGAGCAACUCUUCCAUUCACUGCGACCCGGCUGCCUGA